rfam:Mesocricetus auratus contig097905, whole genome shotgun sequence.
UGGCUCAGUGGUUAAGAGCAUUGGCUGCUUUUCCAGAGGACCUGGGUUCAAUUCCCAG